CCUACGGGGGGCAGCAGUGAGGAAUAUUGGUCAAUGGACGAGAGUCUGAACCAGCCAAGUCGCGUGAAGGAUGACUGCCCUAUGGAUUGUAAACUUCUUUUAUCAGGGAAUAAAACGAGGGACGUGUGCCUUUUUGCAUGUACUUUAUGAAUAAGCAUCGGCUAACUCCGUGCCAGCAGCCGCGGUAAUACGGAGGAUCCGAGCGUUAUCCGGAUUUAUUGGGUUUAAAGGGAGCGUAGAUGGGUUGUUAAGGCAGGUGUGAAAGUUUGCGGCUCAACCGUAACAUUGCCAUUGAUACUGGCAGUCUUGAGUACAGUUGAGGUAGGCGGAAUGCGUGGUGUAGCGGUGAAAUGCAUAGAUAUCACGAAGAACCCCGAUUGCGAAGGCAGCUUACUAACCCGCGACUGACACUGAUGCUCGAAAGUGUGGGUAUCAAGCAGGAUUAGAUACCCUAGUAGUC
rnacentral:rRNA from 1 species